GUGUUGUUGGGUAGGGGAGCGUUCUGUAAGCCGUUGAAGGUGGCCUGUGAGGGUUGCUGGAGGUAUCAGAAGUGCGAAUGCUGACAUAAGUAACGAUAAAGCGGGUGAAAAGCCCGCUCGCCGGAAGACCAAGGGUUCCUGUCCAACGUUAAUCGGGGCAGGGUGAGUCGACCCCUAAGGCGAGGCCGAAAGGCGUAGUCGAUGGGAAACAGGUUAAUAUUCCUGUACUUGGUGUUACUGCGAAGGGGGGACGGAGAAGGCUAUGUUAGCCGGGCGACGGUUGUCCCGGUUUAAGCAUGUAGGCGGAGGUUCCAGGUAAAUCCGGUACCUUUUAACGCUGAGGUGUGAUGACGAGGCACUACGGUGCUGAAGUAACAAAUGCCCUGCUUCCAGGAAAAGCCUCUAAGCAUCAGGUAACACGAAAUCGUACCCCAAACCGACACAGGUGGUCAGGUAGAGAAUACCAAGGCGCUUGAGAGAACUCGGGUGAAGGAACUAGGCAAAAUGGUGCCGUAACUUCGGGAGAAGGCACGCUGAUAUGUAGGUGAAGCCCCUGCGGGUGGAGCUGAAAUCAGUCGAAGAUACCAGCUGGCUGCAACUGUUUAUUAAAAACACAGCACUGUGCAAACACGAAAGUGGACGUAUACGGUGUGACGCCUGCCCGGUGCCGGAAGGUUAAUUGAUGGGGUUAGCGGCAACGCGAAGCUCUUGAUCGAAGCCCCGGUAAACGGCGGCCGUAACUAUAACGGUCCUAAGGUAGCGAAAUUCCUUGUCGGGUAAGUUCCGACCUGCACGAAUGGCGUAAUGAUGGCCAGGCUGUCUCCACCCGAGACUCAGUGAAAUUGAACUCGCUGUGAAGAUGCAGUGUACCCGCGGCAAGACGGAAAGACCCCGUGAACCUUUACUAUAGCUUGACACUGAACACUGGUCCUUGAUGUGUAGGAUAGGUGGGAGGCUUUGAAGCGUGGACGCCAGUCUGCGUGGAGCCGUCCUUGAAAUACCACCCUUUAAUGGCUGGUGUUCUAACGUAGACCCGUAAUCCGGGUUGCGGACAGUGUCUGGUGGGUAGUUUGACUGGGGCGGUCUCCUCCCAAAGAGUAACGGAGGAGCACGAAGGUUAGCUAAUCCUGGUCGGACAUCAGGAGGUUAGUGCAAUGGCAUAAGCUAGCUUGACUGCGAGAGUGACGGCUCGAGCAGGUGCGAAAGCAGGUCAUAGUGAUCCGGUGGUUCUGAAUGGAAGGGCCAUCGCUCAACGGAUAAAAGGUACUCCGGGGAUAACAGGCUGAUACCGCCCAAGAGUUCAUAUCGACGGCGGUGUUUGGCACCUCGAUGUCGGCUCAUCACAUCCUGGGGCUGAAGUAGGUCCCAAGGGUAUGGCUGUUCGCCAUUUAAAGUGGUACGCGAGCUGGGUUUAGAACGUCGUGAGACAGUUCGGUCCCUAUCUGCCGUGGGCGCUGGAGAAUUGAGGGGGGCUGCUCCUAGUACGAGAGGACCGGAGUGGACGCAUCACUGGUGUUCGGGUUGUCAUGCCAAUGGCACUGCCCGGUAGCUAAAUGCGGAAAAGAUAAGUGCUGAAAGCAUCUAAGCACGAAACUUGCCCCGAGAUGAGUUCUCCCUGAC
rnacentral:rRNA from 1 species